AGCAGCGCCGCACCUGUGAUCCCACACGCGAGGCUGGCCACGAAAAGCACGUGCCUCAACCGAUCUCCACCUUUACCACCUCCAUUUCCACCGCUGACACUGUUCCACCACGUCGUAUCGUUAGAAUUCAUUGCUUUUGGCAAUGCAACGUUGGAUGAUUUCGAAGUUGGCGACGACGAAGACGAUGAAGCUCCAAAGAAUUCCUUCAUUGCCGGCGGCUGAUUCUCCCCCACAGGCAGCGUGCUCUGAAAGUCCAGCCCGUGGUAGGAAGGCCGUAAUUCCCUAGCUCUGGAGUCACCUACGUUCAUGAUCACGAUCGCGAUGAUAAGCGGCAUGUACGAAGCCAUUUCACCAAACGAUGACGUUUCUGCUGCUCUCUCUCCUCACCUGCAGGUAAUUAAGUAGUAUGUAGCGCUUGGUGGUGUUGAACUUGAUCUUCCAGAGGGAGAUUGAUUACAUGGUUGAAGAGAAGUGACGAAACGGAGUCCGUGGGUUACUUUCUCAAGUCUCGAGGUGCUAGCUUGCAAUUUUAUCGCGGGUUGAUGAGGAAAACAGUGGCUUAUUUGGUGGUGAGUGACAGAGUAGAAAGAAAGGCGGUGGAAUACGGUGGUCCUUUUGGGGUUUGAAAACAGAAGACGCGUGAUUUAUUGUCGGGAAGGAGCUUCACAAGAAUUCUACUGCACGCCGCUUGGUUCUUUG
rnacentral:misc_RNA from 1 species